UCCUACUAACCUUUAUGGAACACUUAUUAUGAGCCAGGUGCUAGAAGUUGGUGACCCUGGAAAACAGAGAAAUUUAGUUACAAUUUAACCAUAGAAACAUAUUUAAGCAAUGUGACAAAUUUAGUUAAGUAAUGACAGCACAUGAAGAAAAGCUAACAAAGACCCUGGCCUGAGAAAGCUUGUGCAGUUGGUUUUCAAACAAACUAGAAGAUGGACAAAAGCUAUGGAAGCAGAGUUCAAGAAGUAACUUUCCAGGGAUAGAAAAUAACAGGUGAUGAAGAAUUGAGUUGAGAAGAAAGUUGAAUAUUUUGGGGAACUCAACAAAAACAAUGCAUAGAGAACCAGAGAGGGCGACGAUAGAUGUCCAGAGGUCCUGCCUUAAAGAAAUUUGUGUGUUUACUCUUGUGAACUAUGAAUAAAACAGAUCCAAACUGCAUGGCCCGUUUUGGCAGAAGAGUAGAGGCUGUUAAACCAAGUUCCACUGCUGCAAGGCGCAAAAUUAGUUUUUCACCAAUUCCACGGGGCAAAGUCAAGUUUGUCUUUUCCCAAACUGGUAGAGAAUUUAGGAAGGAGACAACAUUUUCAUCCAGAAAAGGAAAUCUAAA